AAAAAGGUGUUUACCAAGGAUCAUGAGGCCCCACUUUCAUGGUCUGUAUUCAUACUGAAAAUCAAGAUCAAGCAAGCUUUUGCCCUUCUG